AGAGUUUGAUCAUGGCUCAGGAUGAACGCUGGCGGCGUGCCUAAUACAUGCAAGUCGAACGCUUUGUUUUUAAUUGAUAUGAAGAGCUUGCUCUGAUUUGAUUUUAUCUGACAAAGAGUGGCGAACGGGUGAGUAACACGUGGGUAACCUACCUCUUAGCAGGGGAUAACAUUUGGAAACAAGUGCUAAUACCGUAUAACACUAACAACCGCAUGGUUGUUAGUUGAAAGAUGGUUCUGCUAUCACUAAGAGAUGGACCCGCGGUGCAUUAGCUAGUUGGUAAGGUAAUGGCUUACCAAGGCGAUGAUGCGUAGCCGAGUUGAGAGACUGAUCGGCCACAAUGGGACUGAGACACGGCCCAUACUCCUACGGGAGGCAGCAGUAGGGAAUCUUCCACAAUGGGCGCAAGCCUGAUGGAGCAACGCCGCGUGUGUGAUGAAGGGUUUCGGCUCGUAAAACACUGUUAUAAGAGAAGAACGACAUUGAGAGUAACUGUUCAGUGUGUGACGGUAUCUUAUCAGAAAGGAACGGCUAAAUACGUGCCAGCAGCCGCGGUAAUACGUAUGUUCCAAGCGUUAUCCGGAUUUAUUGGGCGUAAAGCGAGCGCAGACGGUUAUUUAAGUCUGAAGUGAAAGCCCUCAGCUCAACUGAGGAAGGGCUUUGGAAACUGGAUAACUUGAGUGCAGUAGAGGAAAGUGGAACUCCAUGUGUAGCGGUGAAAUGCGUAGAUAUAUGGAAGAACACCGGUGGCGAAAGCGGCUUUCUGGACUGUAACUGACGUUGUGGCUCGAAAGUGUGGGUAGCAAACAGGAUUAGAUACCCUGGUAGUCCACACCGUAAACGAUGAGUGCUAGAUGUUCGAGGGUUUCCGC
rnacentral:rRNA from 1 species